rnacentral:rRNA from 1 species
UAGGGAAUCUUCCACAAUGGACGAAAGUCUGAUGGAGCAACGCCGCGUGAGUGAAGAAGGGUUUCGGCUCGUAAAACUCUGUUGUUAAGAAGAACGUGGGUAAGAGUAACUGUUUACCCAGUGACGGUAUUUAACCAGAAAGCCACGGCUAACUACGUGCCAA